AUCUUUGCGCUUGGAGCAAUGAUGCAGCUAAUGAGGUUCUAACCGAGGUGCAUCUAUUGCUGUUUGAAAACUAUAAAGGUUUUGGUAAUUUAAACUCUCAAUUAAAGAACUUAUUUAUAAGGUUUUGGUAAUUUAAUCACAUUAUGAG